UACGGGGGGAGCAAGCGUUGUUCGGAUUUACUGGGCGUAAAGGGCGCGUAGGCGGCCACCGCAAGUCGACUGUGAAAUCUCCGGGCUUAACCCGGAAAGGUCAGCCGAUACUGCGGGGCUAGAGUGCAGAAGGGGCAACUGGAAUUCUCGGUGUAGCGGUGAAAUGCGUAGAUAUCGAGAGGAACACCUGCGGCGAAGGCGGCAUUCUGGACCGAUAUUGACGCUGAGGAGCGAAAGCCAGGGGAGCAAACGGG
rnacentral:rRNA from 1 species